rnacentral:lncRNA from 1 species
AGGGAUUUCUUUUGUAAUUUUCAUUUUUCUGGCCAUAUAAAAGCCAAAUACGAAUUGUAGAAAGAGGGGGGAACAACUGAAUGAAAAGCAGAUCAAAAAAUUUAAGAAAAAGGUUGAUUUAAGUUCUUUUUUUAUUCUGGCAUUUUUUUAUUUUCUUUAUUUUUAUUUUUAUUUUUAUUUUUUGUUUGUUUCAUUACUCUUUUUAACAAAAAAACGAAACUAAAAGGAAAAAGAAAAAAUACCUGACCGCUUCGAAAGGCCAGCGUCGGAGGUCGUCUUUGCCGUCACCGGACUCG